CUACGAAAGGUGCAAGCGUUGUUCGGAUUUACUGGGCGUAAAGAGAGUGUAGGUUGUUUAUUAAGUCGGAUGUGAAAUCCCGGGGCUCAACCUCGGAACUGCAUUCGAUACUGGUAGACUAGAGUUCGAGAGGGGUAAGCGGAAUUCCGUGUGUAGCAGUGAAAUGCGUAGAUAUACGGAGGAACACCUGAGGCGAAGGCGGCUUACUGGACCGAUACUGACACUGAGACUCGAAAGCGUGGGUAGCAAACAGGAUUAGAAACCCUAGUAGUCC
rnacentral:rRNA from 1 species